GCUCAGGCCUGUGGGGUCUUUACUCUCCCUAGUUUCAGGGUCAGCUAGCUAGUUAGCCAUGGCCUCUCCCUUUCUGUGAUGACCAGCUGGCCCAAGACAUCGUGUACCUCCUUCUAGGGACUUAACGCUUUAGCAAUGAUUCCCUAGGCACUGGGGAAAAGAACUUCUCGGGUAGCUGACACGACUCCUGCAUCUUCCCCAACUCACCAAACUGCUACUGCUCUUCCUAUCCUUUCAGUUGAAUAAAAAAAGAAAAAAAAAUCCCCCAGAGCUCCAGUCAACCUAUUUGUCAGCUAUGGAGAGAGGCCUGCCUGUACAGGGGGAGUAUGACACCGAAGGAGAAGCCAGGAACACGGGUCCUAUAAAGCCGGCUGCAGCCAGGCUGAGGUGCUCCAGAGAACAGAGGGCUACAGAUCCUCCGUGCCUGUGCCAUAGCUGACCUGCCUGAAGACUGGCACUGUACACAGGCCCUGGCACACAUAUGUAGUGAGGGGCACCAACCUCUUUAGUACCUGUCCAUAUAGCUUGCCCAGGGAGAUGUUUAGCUGGCUGACUCAGGCUGUGCAGGCCAAGUUCCUGGUGAGGAGGAAACCUUUAGAGGAACUGUUGGAGUUUCCUAGAUGGGCAGAUUCAAGAGCCAUGACACAGGGGAAAUCCUGUCUGG
rnacentral:lncRNA from 1 species